AUUCUGGUGUCCUAGGCGUAGAGGAACCACACCAAUCCAUCCCGAAUUUGGUGGUUAAACUCUACUGCGGCGACGAUACUGUAGGGGAGGUCCUGCGGCAAAAUAGCUCGAUGCCAGAAUGAUAAAAAGCUUAACACCUC
rnacentral:rRNA from 1 species